rnacentral:rRNA from 1 species
AUUGAACGCUGGCGGCAGGCCUAACACAUGCAAGUCAAGCGGAUGAAGGGAGCUUGCUCCUGGAUUCAGCGGCGGACGGGUGAGUAAUGCCUAGGAAUCUGCCUGGUAGUGGGGGAUAACGUCCGGAAACGGGCGCUAAUACCGCAUACGUCCUGAGGGAGAAAGUGGGGGAUCUUCGGACCUCACGCUAUCAGAUGAGCCUAGGUCGGAUUAGCUAGUUGGUGGGGUAAAGGCCUACCAAGGCGACGAUCCGUAACUGGUCCGAGAGGAUGAUCAGUCACACUGGAACUGAGACACGGUCCAGACUCCUACGGGAGGCAGCAGUGGGGAAUAUUGGACAAUGGGCGAAAGCCUGAUCCAGCCAUGCCGCGUGUGUGAAGAAGGUCUUCGGAUUGUAAAGCACUUUAAGUUGGGAGGAAGGGCAGUAAGUUAAUACCUUGCUGUUUUGACGUUACCAACAGAAUAAGCACCGGCUAACUUCGUG